rnacentral:rRNA from 1 species
AACAUGUCUUUUUGAUUAUAAUUUAAAGUCUAAUCUGCUCCAUGAAUAAUUUUAAAUAGCUGCAGUAAUUUGACUGUACAAAGGUAGCAAAAUCAAUAGUUUUAUAAUUUAAAGCUGGAAUGAAGGAUUUUAUGAAAUAAUUACUGUCUCAAAUUAAAUAAAUUUAAAAAUUUUUUUUUAGUAAAAAUACUAAAUUAAUUUUAAUAGACGAGAAGACCCUAUAGAAUUUUAUAAUUUAAUUUUAGGUUAAUUUAAUUAAAUUUUUAAAAUGGGAUUAUUUGAUUGGGGUAAUUAUUAAAUUUAAAAAAUUUUAAUUAAUGAUAAACAAAAAUUAUUGGAAGUUUGAAUUUAAAUUUUGAUUUAGAGAAUAAAUUACCUUAGGGAUAACAGCGUAAUUUUUUUAGAAAGUUCUAAUUAAUAAAGAAGUUUGCGACCUCGAUGUUGAAUUAAAAUAAAAUUUUAAUGUAGUAGUUAUAAAUUUUUGGUCUGUUCGACCAUUGAAAUUUUACGUGAU